GACGAACGCUGGCGGCGUGCUUAACACAUGCAAGUCGAACGGAAAGGCCCUGCUUUUGUGGGGUGCUCGAGUGGCGAACGGGUGAGUAACACGUGAGUAACCUGCCCUUGACUUUGGGAUAACUUCAGGAAACUGGGGCUAAUACCGGAUAGGAGCUCCUGCUGCAUGGGGGGGGUUGGAAAGUUUCGGCGGUUGGGGAUGGACUCGCGGCUUAUCAGCUUGUUGGUGGGGUAGUGGCUUACCAAGGCUUUGACGGGUAGCCGGCCUGAGAGGGUGACCGGCCACCUUGGGACUGCGGUACGGCCCAGACUCCUACGGGAGGCAGCAGUGGGGAAUAUUGCACAAUGGGCGGAAGCCUGAUGCAGCAACGCCGCGUGCGGGAUGACGGCCUUCGUGUUGUAAACCGCUUUCGCCUGUGACGAAGCGUGAGUGACGGUAAUGGGUAAAGAAGCACCGGCUAACUACGUG
rnacentral:rRNA from 1 species